CUACGGGCGGCAGCAGUGGGGGAUAUUGCACAAUGGAGGAAACUCUGAUGCAGCAACGCCGCGUGAAGGAAGACGGUUUUCGGAUUGUAAACUUCUAUCAGCUGGGAAGAAAAUGACUGUACCAGACUAAGAAGCCCCGGCUAACUACGUGCCAGCAGCCGCGGUAAUACGUAGGGGGCAAGCGUUAUCCGGAUUUACUGGGUGUAAAGGGUUCGUAGGCGGUUAUUUAAGUCAGAUGUGAAAGCCCGAGGCUCAACCCCGGGACUGCAUUUGAAACUGGAUAACUAGAGUACAGGAGAGGAAAGCGGAAUUCCUAGUGUAGCGGUGAAAUGCGUAGAUAUUAGGAAGAACACCAGUGGCGAAGGCGGCUUUCUGGACUGUAACUGACGCUGAUGAACGAAAGCGUGGGGAGCGAACAGGAUUAGAUACCCGUGUAGUC
rnacentral:rRNA from 1 species